UACAGAGGGUGCGAGCGUUAAUCGGAAUUACUGGGCGUAAAGCGCACGUAGUCGGCUUUGCAAGUCGGGUGUGAAAUCCCCCGGGCUCAACCUGGGAACUGCAUCCGAGACUGCAUUUGCUAGAGUAUGGGAGAGGGAAGCGGAAUUUCUGGUGUAGCAGUGAAAAUGCGUAGAUAUCAGAAAGGAACAUCAGUGGCGAAGGCGGCUUCCUGGACCAAUACUGACGAUCAGGUGCGAAAAGCGUGGGGGAGCAAACAGG
rnacentral:rRNA from 1 species